ensembl:lncRNA
CCAAGAGUGACUCACCCAGUGAAGACCAGAGUACUUAUUGUUCCAAGUGUCAAAAUCUGCAGAACUGCCUCCAGGAUUUGGGUCUCAUCCAGCUUCAAUGAACGAAACAUUCCAGCAUCUUCCUCCAGUACCUGUGAAUGCUGCAUUGUCUUCUCCCUGUGGCUUUUGUUUUUGAAAGCUCAUAAAGAGGAACCCAGGAAGUCAGGAGACAGCAGGGUGACCAUUUCCGUCCCCAGAACAGCCUUCAGCCAGUUUCUACAUGCCUCUUGCCAGGGACCAAACUGGCACCUAGGCUGCCCCGGAGGACGCAGAAAACCAGGACCCGGCUGGGGGCUGAAAUGUACUCCAUUGAAGAAUCCUCUGGCCUCCUCAGCACUGGAAGGACCAGCCAGCGGCAGUGAGAGUUUAUCAUUUGGAGGGAGCAUCUGCAUCCUCAGUAGUACUGGAGAGUCACAUCCAGGCUCAGUCCCAGAGCCCGAGUCCUGAUUGGUCCAAGAUGUUGAUGCCCCUAGCCAGAGAUUGGGCUGCUCGUGAUCACGUGGCAAAAUCUGGCCAAUGGCAGGAGCAAGUCCUUCAGGCUGCCUGGAUUCCAGAACGAAGCUCUUUUUGAAAGAAGAGGCGAGGCCCCUUUCCGAGAAGUAAGCCCCCCAGCGUGGCUUUGAAGAGCUUUGCUGACAUUGUUACAAGAGAUCAGGGCACCCACUAGCAGCCGUGGCACUGUCGUCACGGCUUUGACCGUCAUCACCUGGGGUCUCCUACUGCAGGGCACAUGACUGACUGAUUGACAGCCCACUGCUGUGCUCUGAACCCACCCUGUGCCCCGAACCAUGGAUGUGCCAGCCAAUGACCCACCAUGGGAGGGAAAUGAAGGGCAAGAUGAGCUCACAAACCCCCAAGCCAUGGAUCACUUGGCCAGAAAAUCAUAAAGUAGAGACAUUCUGACUCCUGAAACUGUGAUUAAGAAAUGUCACAAGAUGAUGAUUAAU